GGUAACCUAGAGGGCAUGAGAUGGGGGGCAGUGAGAAGAUCCAAGAAGGAUGGGAUAUAUGUAUACAUAUAGCUGAGUUACUUCAUUGUAUAGCAGAAACCAACACAACAUUGUAAAAAAAUUAUCCCCCUCCACUCUCCCCCAAAGAGACAUGGUUUAAUAUAUAACUUGGCUUGGAGGUCACAGAGGUAAGGAUUGAAAAGUAGUCCCUGGGCUUGUCAAUAAAAAAAAUCAUUGGGGACUUCAAGGAGAGCAGUUUCAUGAGUAGUGGGGCAGAAACCAGAUCGCAGUGGGCAGAAGUGAAGAUGGGAGGGGAACGGGGGGCAAGUGAAGAAAUCCAAUGGCAAAGGGAAAGAGGAGAGAGGUGGAUAGAAGGAUGUGAGAACAGGCUGGAGAACAGUGUUCCCUUGUGGCUUUUUAGCUCUGGAUGAGUGGGGCUAACAGAGCAAGAGAGCACUAAGAUGUAGGAAGAGGGGCUCACUCCUGAGCCCAAGGAUGUUGCUAUCUUCAGCUCCCACCAGCUGGGUGUCCCCUUUCUCUAGCAUUCCAUGUAGGCUGUGGAGGUCCCCCCCGGACUCUUUUGGAUCAGCCCUUCUUGAUCCAUUCAUUCUUUUCUUACUUCUCAGCACAUCUGGGUCAUACAUUAUGUGAAGACAAAUAAAUCAUUACUGAUGGUCAGUUUUCUUGAAAAAUCCCCCAGGAGUGUAGCAUUUUGGAGAACUACAUAUUGUUUCACAAAAAGCCAAAGAAGCCCAUUUUUGCCUCUACCAUUGAGAGAGAUUGCUAUUUCUUGGGGAACCUGAUGAAGAAGGUGACUCACACUUAGGAAUAAUCUUGCUUGAAAAGUGCAAAAGGUGAGCGACUUUGGCUAUGAGAGGGCUCCGAGGCCUGAGUCUUCCUGAGAGAUGGCAGUUCCACAGCUCCAUAUUUCCCUCUGACCCUGAGCUAUGAGCUCAUCAAGUGAGAUGUAAUUAAAAUCACUGACAUGAUUUAAAUGGUAAUUCUGUUCUCUCUCUUUCAUUCAGAGCAAGUUUAAUGGAAUUUGUAUAAAAUAUAUGUGUGAAAUAUCCAUACAAUAGAGCUUGGCUAUAUCCUCAUGGUUCUCCUUCCCUUUUGCAUUUUCUGCAUCUGCCCUCACCAGCUGUUCAGACUUAACCACACAGAAUCAAUCCACCCAGGUGGUCCACUGAGCAUGUCUUCCCCCUUCUCAUCUGGUCAUUAUUGUCAACUUGCUCUCCACCACUGCCUCCUGCUGCUGCUGCUGCUGCUGCUGCUAAGUCACAUCAGUCGUGUCCAACUCUGUGCGACCCUAUAGACGGCAGCCCAGCUGUUAGUUCUAGGGAAGUUGGUUCACUUUGAGCAAGUAACUGUUAGCUCCAUGGACAGUUUGGAAGUGACUUGGGAGCCUGAAUGGGCCUGCCCUGGGUUAAUUAUACCAAUGAGGUUUCAAGGAGAAGGGAGGAGCAACUGGUCUGCAGAGACCCAGCAGUUCUGAGACACAUGCUCUUAGCUCCACAGGCCAUCUUUCCUGGCAUCCUUCCUUGGUGACACGUUGGAGGAGGUCACUGAGGGGAUGUGACCACCAGCUGACCAGAGAUCUUGACCUGGGCGAUCAAGGACUCCUCACCCCCUCCCCUGACCUUGGAUUAUACAUUCUGCCUACCACUGCUACAGUGGGAGUGGGAACCAUGUUGAAGGAUGUAGCCAUUUGUUUUUAAUUAAUUAAUUAAUGUGGCUGUGUUGGGUCUUACUUGUGGCACAUGGGCUUUAGUUGCCUGUGGUAUGUGGGAUCUUACUUUCCUGACCAGGGAUUAAGCUGUGUCCCCUGAAAUGGAAGGUGGAAUCUCAACCAGUGGACCACCAGGGAAGUUCCAAGGACACUGCCUUGAGACAGUAAUGUGUUAUUGAGGCCAUCUGGACAGUAAACGUGACUGAACCCUGUUAAAGUCUGUAUGUAAACUCAAAAUUCUGGCAGGUUCUGGGAGGAUUAAAUAAACUUGUGUGAUAACCAAGUGACUGAGGAAGAAUAGGCACAGAAUGAAUCUUCACUUCCUUUUAAUUGACUGCAGAGAAGAACAUAACCCAGGGGAUGAGACUCCAGUUUCGCGCCUCUCAAACUUUAACAUGGAAAUGACUACUGGAGAGGGAAUGAGCCAAUUCUGAUUCUGCCUCCAGCAUGCUCCAGCAGCUUAUAUGUAGUACACCACUUACGUACAUGGCCAACAUGCCUGGAGGAGCCCAGGGAUAUCGGAUGGCAAAGCUGUGGAUCAGGGUGACAGCCAUCGUGGGAAAAGUCUUCCUGCCUCCACGCCCUCAGUUCACCAGGCCCAGUUGUUUCCAGUGGUCAUGUAUGGAUGUGAGAGUUGGACUGUGAAGAAAGCUGAGUGCCGA